CACCCUACGGAGGCAGCAGUGAGGAAUAUUGGUCAAUGGGCGCGAGCCUGAACUAGCCAAGUCGCGUGAGGGAAGACGGUCCUAUGGAUUGUAAACCUCUUUUGUCGGGGAGCAAAAGACGCCACGCGUGGCGUUCCGAGAGUACCCGAAGAAAAAGCAUCGGCUAACUCCGUGCCAGCAGCCGCGGUAAUACGGAGGAUGCGAGCGUUAUCCGGAUUUAUUGGGUUUAAAGGGAGCGUAGGCGGAUUUUUAAGUCAGCGUGAAAAUGUCCGGGCUCAACCCGGGCCGGCCGUUGAAACUGGGGA
rnacentral:rRNA from 1 species